rnacentral:rRNA from 1 species
AGUUUGAUCCUGGCUCAGGACGAACGCUGGCGGCGUGCCUAAUACAUGCAAGUCGAGCGAAUCGAUGGGAGCUUGCUCCCUGAGAUUAGCGGCGGACGGGUGAGUAACACGUGGGCAACCUGCCUAUAAGACUGGGAUAACUUCGGGAAACCGGAGCUAAUACCGGAUACGUUCUUUUCUCGCAUGAGAGAAGAUGGAAAGACGGUUUACGCUGUCACUUAUAGAUGGGCCCGCGGCGCAUUAGCUAGUUGGUGAGGUAAUGGCUCACCAAGGCGACGAUGCGUAGCCGACCUGAGAGGGUGAUCGGCCACACUGGGACUGAGACACGGCCCAGACUCCUACGGGAGGCAGCAGUAGGGAAUCUUCCGCAAUGGACGAAAGUCUGACGGAGCAACGCCGCGUGAACGAAGAAGGCCUUCGGGUCGUAAAGUUCUGUUGUUAGGGAAGAACAAGUACCAGAGUAACUGCUGGUACCUUGACGGUACCUAACCAGAAAGCCACGGCUAACUACGUGCCAGCAGCCGCGGUAAUACGUA